UACGUAGGGUGCGAGCGUUGUCCGGAAUUAUUGGGCGUAAAGAGCUUGUAGGCGGUUUGUCGCGUCUGCUGUGAAAAUCCGGGGCUCAACCCCGGACUUGCAGUGGGUACGGGCAGACUGGAGUGUGGUAGGGGAGACUGGAAUUCCUGGUGUAGCGGUGAAAUGCGCAGAUAUCAGGAGGAACACCGAGUGGCGAAGGCAGGGUCUCUGGGCGAUUAACUGACGCUGAGGAGCGAAAGCAUGGGAGCGAACAGG
rnacentral:rRNA from 1 species